rnacentral:rRNA from 1 species
AUUGAACGCUGGCGGCAGGCUUAACACGUGCAAGUCGAGCGGGGGAAGGUAGCUUGCUACCGGACCUAGCGGCGGACGGGUGAGUAAUGCUUAGGAAUCUGCCUAUUAGUGGGGGACAACAUCUCGAAAGGGGUGCUAAUACCGCAUACGUCCUACGGGAGAAAGCAGGGGAUCUCCGGACCUUGCGCUAAUAGAUGAGCCUAAGUCGGAUUAGCUAGUUGGUGGGGUAAAGGCCUACCAAGGCGACGAUCUGUAGCGGGUCUGAGAGGAUGAGCGGCCACACUGGGACUGAGACACGGCCCAGACUCCUACGGGAGGCAGCAGUGGGGAAUAUUGGACAAUGGGGGGAACCCUGAUCCAGCCAUGCCGCGUGUGUGAAGAAGGCCUUAUGGUUGUAAAGCACUUUAAGCGAGGAGGAGGCUACUUUAGUUAAUACCUAGAGAUAGUGGACGUUACUCGCAGAAUAAGCACCGGCUAACUCUGUGCCAGCCGCCGCAGUAA